GUUAAUAAUGGGCAGUGAGGCGCGGUACUACGUGGUAUGUAGGUGGUUGCCGUAAGUAUUGGGCGUGAAGCGAAAGUAGGCGGGUUCUUAGUAUUGGGCUUAAAGAGCGGGGGUCAACCUCUGGAAUGGAUCGAUAACUGGGAGACUGGAGGACGUCAGAGGAAAGUGGAAUUCCGAGUGUAGCGGUGAAAUGCGUAGAUAUUCGGAGGAACACCAGUGGCGAAAGCGACUUUCUGGGACGUUCCUGACGCUGAGGUUCGAAAGCUCGGGGAGCAAACAGGAUUAGAUACCCGUGUAGUC
rnacentral:rRNA from 1 species